CCUACGGGUGGCAGCAGUGGGGAAUAUUGCACAAUGGGGGAAACCCUGAUGCAGCGACGCCGCGUGAGUGAAGAAGUAAUUCGUUACGUAAAGCUCUAUCAGCAGGGAAGAAAUACUGACCUUACGGUCAGCAGACGGUACCUGAGUAAGAAGCCCCGGCUAACUACGUGCCAGCAGCCGCGGUAAUACGUAGGGGGCAAGCGUUAUCCGGAUUUAUUGGGUGUAAAGGGAGCGUAGACGGUUCGCCAGGUCUGGAGUGAAAUGCCGCAGCUUAAGGGGGGAACCGCUUUGGAAACGGGCGGGAGGGAGUGGGGUAGGGGAGACGGGAAAUCACGGUGGAAGGGGGGAAGGGGGAGAUGUAGGGAGGAAC
rnacentral:rRNA from 1 species